AAUCUUCGGCAAUGGACGGAAGUCUGACCGAGCAACGCCGCGUGAGUGAAGAAGGUUUUCGGAUCGUAAAGCUCUGUUGUAAGAGAAGAACGAGUGUGAGAGUGGAAAGUUCACACUGUGACGGUAUCUUACCAGAAAGGGACGGCUAACUACGUGCCAGCAGCCGCGGUAAUACGUAGGUCCCGAGCGUUGUCCGGAUUUAUUGGGCGUAAAGCGAGCGCAGGCGGUUAGAUAAGUCUGAAGUUAAAGGCUGUGGCUUAACCAUAGUACGCUUUGGAAACUGUUUAACUUGAGUGCAAGAGGGGAGAGUGGAAUUCCAUGUGUAGCGGUGAAAUGCGUAGAUAUAUGGAGGAACACCGGUGGCGAAAGCGGCUCUCUGGCUUGUAACUGACGCUGAGGCUCGAAAGCGUGGGGAGCAAACAGGAUUAGAUACCCUGGUAGUCCACGCCGUA
rnacentral:rRNA from 1 species